rnacentral:rRNA from 1 species
CACGUAGGGGACGAGCGUUGUCCGGAUUCAUUGGGCGUAAAGCGCGCGUAGGCGGCCCGAUAAGUCCGCUGUGAAAGUCGGGGGCUCAACCCUCGAAAGCCGGUGGAUACUGUCAGGCUAGAGUACGGAAGAGGCGAGUGGAAUUCCUGGUGUAGCGGUGAAAUGCGCAGAUAUCAGGAGGAACACCCAUUGCGAAGGCAGCUCGCUGGGACGUUACUGACGCUGAGACGCGAAAGCGUGGGGAGCAAACAGG